rnacentral:lncRNA from 1 species
GUAGCCAACGACUGGGAUACAUUUCUGAAGGAGUUAGCUGAAUGCCACCAGCGUGCUGAACAAGCUCUCUAUCAGAAGCAUUGGGAAGAAAUCAAGCAAUCAGGGCUCAGCCGGGAUCUAGUAACACCCAAAGACCACUUACAUUCUCUAGAUGAAAUUCUACAUCAUUUAUCACUGCUUGGUGCUGAUUUGCAAAUGACAGAUUCCCACAUCAGAUAUGAUGUCACUAAAAAACAAGAUAGGCAGACGUGUCCAGAACAUGUGUUAAGGAUUCUGAACACUUUACACUACAGAGCUACCGGAGAAACUGUGGCCCAAGAGGUGGCCCAGAUUACUGAGGAGCAGCAAGUGGAGAGAGCUGUGGCUUUUCUCCAGAAACACCACAAAGAAGGGGACUUACUUAUUGGUUUGAAGGAAGAGUCAGAGACUGAACUGAGGAGUAUGCAGACACAGUUCAGAAUGGAGCUUCAAACCCAAACAGAAGAAAAGGUGCAAGCCAAGGAAAUGCAAGUGAUUCAGGAGGCUGAAAGACAGGCGUUACCAAAUCACAUUGAGCAUGUGGCAUAUUUUAUCCUAUCUCAGAGACACUUGCGGCAAACAGUAAUAGUGCUGCAAGACAGCUACAGAUUCCAAAAGGCAGACUUGUGGACACAGACUGAAGAAAGAAACCUGUGCGAGCUUGUCAUAGAUGGGGAUGAUGGUAUGAUGGGCAUCUUACAUCUAUUGAAAGAUAACAUGGAGUACAGGCUUUCAGGGCUGGAGCUGAAACAAGCUGCCAGAUUAUUACAGCUCAGAGAGAAACAGUUUUUGGAAAUAACCAAAUGCCUGAAAGACUACUCUUUGGACAAGCCUGUGGAUGAAGCUGGCUUCACAGCCAACGAUCUACAGGAAUUCAGAAAGCAGAAAAUAAGGGGACUGAAAGAACAGCUCAAAAUCUUCAUAGGUGAUAAAAGAACUAAGGAGAAUAUUUCAAGCAAUCUUGAUCCACUACAGAAAAUGAUUAACCAACACAAUGAAACUGUGGCCUUCCUGCAAAAGGCUUUUCACCAAGACCUGGAGAAACUGAGAAGGAGGCUAGAGCCAGCAGAGAAGAAAAAAGAGAAACCACAAGAAAACAGUCGUGUGUCAUCUGCAGCUGCAUCCUCAUCAGCCAAAGAGAAACCCAGCCAGGCAGAAGACCCGGUUCUAUCUCUCUUGGCAGAGAGUAGGUCUGAUUUUUGCAAUAGGAAAUCCAUAACUCCUUGUUGCAAAUAAUAUGCAU